AACAAUCUCAAACCCUCAUUCUCUUUCACGUCUACUUCUCCUCCCUUGCUGCUGCUCACGCCGCCAUCACCACCAGCCACCUGCACGACGCUGACGUUCUUCCACCCUCCAUGCCCGCACCACCACCACGCUGCCACCAGCGUUCGACCCUUUGCUUCAUCCGCUGCAACCCUCGCCGUCCACCACCGCGAGCCACCACACGACCACCAGCCGCGACCACCUGCACGCUGCCGCGCCUCACUGGCCGCCGGCCAACAUCUCAUUUCCUCUUUAAUUGGCGGAGAAUUCUCUGUAGGCGACUUUUGAAAUCAUUAAAGUAGGCCUAUCAGUUUGUUUACACAAGGUCACUGAGGUUACGGAGUCGCGCUCGUACCUCGUCUUCUAAUGAAGGCUUUGGGCGGAGAAUUCUCUGUAGGCGACUUUUGAAAUCAUUAAAGUAGGCCUAUCAGUUUGUUUACACAAGUCUCUAAGGAUCAAUAAGCAUCGUCCAUAUACAGGUUUGAAGAUGAUGCAUCAUUGGGUUCGGGAUUAAAGAGCUUGUAGUUUGGUUUUGAUUUGUUAAAGUGACUUUGGUUUGUUUAAAUUGGACUUUAAACUUGUUGAAUCAGUUUCGUUGACUUUAUUUUCGUUGGUUGGUUUGGGGAUUUUACUGCGUAGUUAACUAUUUAUAAUUUAAAGUUAGUUUAUGUUUUCCGCUGCAAAAUUU